GGUGACAGGUUAUAUCUUUAAUGGUUAUGCAAAUAAAGCAAUAUGUUGGUGUGGCAUCAAGACUUGUGUGCAUGUCAUCUUCUUAUUGGCUUAGUUCAGGGAUGAUUGGUAGGCUGUGUCAAUUAAUCAUUCAAUUUCUAAAAAAAAAAAAUCAGUUGAAAUUUUCUUUCUUUGGAAACAAUGAUAAGAUUCAGAAGUUUGUUUUCUUCUUUCAUUUUCCUUGAAAAUUGAUU
rnacentral:misc_RNA from 1 species